UCCUCGCUUUGAGCCAAUCUCUUGAGCCUUAUGUGUCUGACACAUUAGUUAAGCAUCUCUUAUUGUUUUGACAUUGGCACACCUGAUAAGCAAACUAUUAGAACAAUAGAAACAAAAUUGCUUCUAGACUACACCAAAGACUGGUGGAAUCAAAGCAUAUAUACCCACCAAAAAAGUAUACAUUAUGCGUAAGAACCCAUAGAAGAGCAGCCGCUUUGUUAAACUAGUAGAAAACACAUAGAAUUAACUUUCAUUUCACUUGGAACUGUUUCAUAACCCGAUGGACACUAAAUCAUUUGUAUCCAGAUUCUCUCUACUUGUAAUCCCGAUGGACACUAAAUCAUUUAUAUCCACAUGUUACAAAUUGAUCAUGUGUAUUACAAUCUUUUUAGUGUAUUGUAAUAUUCUUUAAAUCAAGCUUUGUCCCUAAAUCAAUCAAAAAAGAUAUGAAUGUCUACGAUUCAAGCUCAAUUCCUAGAAAUUGAUUCAACAUUUUAGCUGGAUGAACCAUUGAUUGCUUGGAGCGAUUUGCUAACAGCUUCUGUCUUUUGAAAGACAUGGUAACAGCUUCUGUCUUUUGAAAUACAGGAAAUCGAAAGACAAUAUCAGAAGCCUCUAAUAUGGAACUCUUUUUCUCAAAUAUCUGUUACCAAGUCUUUUUCUCAAAUAUGGAACUCUUUUUUCUCAAAUAACUGUUUUAAGAAGCUGUUACCAAGUCUUAAAACAAAAACAGAAAUUAAAUUGAUACACUCGAAAACCACACAAGAGGGCUUCUUUUAAACAUUACAUCAGACUCAGUCUUUGUUUUAUUGGAACUUACCAAAAGCACUCAAAAGCAUGAGCACCAUCGGCUAGGAGUCUUUAGAUUCCCCUUUUAGCACAAUCUCUAGGAAUUACGAUUUGAUACACCUCUUACUUGGCCUCGACCACCAUAUCCAUAGUCGCCGCCGCCGCCACCACCACGAGGUCCACUAUAACCGCCACAUGAAUGAACGUUACCGCAGAAAGCUUCUCUCAUUUGCCAAAACUCUAGCAUUUUCAUCACCCGUAUUCAUCUCAAUAAAGUUCGUCCAUGCAAAAUUCUUACGUCCAUUUAAUUAUGCUUACAUGGACAUGCUUCUUUUAAUGGAUUCUUAUAAACAAAUUUCCAAUUUCAACAAAGCUAUUUACAAUGGGCGUGAAAUCUUGCAACCUGCGAGAGUGAAAGAGGAGAUCAGAGCAAUAAUUAAGGAAAUACAAUCUCACAACAUCCAUUUAGAAGAAUUUCUCUCCAGAUUCAUACAAUAAACAUACAUAUAGCUCAAUUUCUCUCCAGAUUCAUCAAUUCCACUGCAGAUUUUAGAGAUUUAAAGUGAACUGAUCCAAAUAUUUCCAGAUUCAAAGGAAGAAAAAGAGAGAUUGAAGAAUCUAGAUGACAACCCCAGAAAUCCAGAUUUGAGGAAUCCAGAUGACAAUGUCGGAACCAGAAAAAGAGCGCUCGAGGAAUUCUUUGGAAACCAAGAAUCCUAGGGAAAUAAAACAACAUUCUCGCUCAAUGACAAAAGAGAGAUUACUGUUUUUGAACCCUUAAACUAAUGCCAAAAUGAUCUCCUCUUCUUCUCUUUAGCUGCUUAUAGAGACCGGGCGCUUGGUAAUGAGUUUCACUGCAUUGGUAAUGAGUUUCAAAUAUUAUUUUUAACAUUACAAGUAGAGAGAUCUAGGAUAUAAAUGAUUUACUAUCCAUCGGGAUUGUACUAUAUGGUUACGAAACAGCAUCAAAUGAUUUAGCGUCCACGCAAACAUGAACAUGUGGAUAUCCCAUCCUCUUAUAAACACUUUUGCAGUUUUUCGGUGUAUCAUUUCAAUAGUUUAAAAUGAUUUAAUGUCCAUAGGGAUUGUACUAUGUGGUUAUGAAUCAGUUCCAAAUGAUUUUGUAUCUUUGUAAUUUAGCUUUUCGUGUGACUCAGCUAAUCAAUCCUUCUUUCGUGCGUUGUAUCAAAACUUCAAGCAGCUUAGGAUCCAAAAACUUCAAGCAGCUUAGGAUAGACACUUGGUUUACAGUGUUGCAACAAAGCUCUGCCUAGGUUCUACUCUACCUGUCACCUAGAUUACAUAGCAAAACAUAACCAGCCAUAUCAAAGGUUAAUACUUUCAACUAAAAAACUACAGUUCGAAGAUAAUCCAGUAGAUACCAUAAGAGAGAUUCAGGUGAGAUGAUUUGCAACUGAUUUAUGUAUAUACCAUAAGAGAGAUGCAGAGUCAACACAAACAAGCUACACAAAGUAGUAACAAUAAAGAGUUAUAAGCGUUUAAGUAUAGCAAACAAACAAAACAGGAGAUAGCAAUACUGUAGGACAACUAGUUAGCAACUAAAAGGAGUAAAAACUUUUAAAGAUCAAGACCUUGAUAUCCUCACAAAGUCACAAACAUUCACAAAUUCGAAAUCCAAAUUUUGAGGUUUCAAGGGAAGAGAUAACUCGCGUAAUUGUAGACUUAGAAAUCAUCAAUGAAAAACGUGACACUUCCCAAAUCAAAGGUCAAAGCUUCAUCUAACCGAUGAACAAUCGCCUCAAAUUCCAAAAUCCAUCUCAAAUACAUAAAAAUAAGGUGAAGAUCAACAGGGUAUCGUCUUCCUUUUUUUUGUUUUAUUAUAGCCACAGUUUUACUUGCGUUGAAUAAUUCCGUUUAUCUAAAAGACAAGAAAUCAAACGACAACAUCAAUUACAUAUCCACUGCAUAUGCCAUGGAAUCAUCGAUUACAUAUCCUUCGGUUUGUUGCAUUUUUCCCAAUCGAACUUCAAGCAAAAACAAAAUCGAAACAAUCAAAUGUUGUAUGGGAAAGGAAUAAGAUCUGGAAAAACAAUGAAGCAAGAGAAUUACUUUUUAGGGUUGAGAAACAUAAUAGCUGGUUGACUUUUUAGCUGUGGCACAGAAGAAAUUGAAGAGACAACCCAUGGCUUCGAUGAAAUCGGAAGAGAGAAAAAGGAACAGCAAUGGAAGAAGCUACUGAGAUUUUCCGAGAAAGAUAGGAAAAGUCGAGAGUGAAAGAAUUGGUGGGUAUGAGUCAAUUGUUUUCAAAUUUGAAAUUAUCUGAUGGAAAUCACGGUAAUGAGAUAAGUCCAGAAAUGG
rnacentral:lncRNA from 1 species